AAUACCAAAUCAUAGAUACAGCAUGAUCCUGAUUUUUUGUUUUUACUAACAGUAAACGUUCAUAUAAAAAGACUAGAAGGAAAUUAACCAAUUGUUAACAGUGUCUGACUCUAGGUGGUGGGAUUAUAGUGGAUUAUAAUAAUAAAAGCUAACACUUGUAUAGCGCUUUUCUCAGCACUUUACAUAUAUUUAUAUACACUUACUCCUUAUAUCUAUCCUACAGGAGAAAUACCAUAUUAUCCCCAUUUUGCAGAUGAGGAGACAGAAGUGGAGAGAGGUGAAGUGACUUGCUCAACAUCACACAGUUGCCUUCCCACGUGUGUGAGACCAUUGCUGUGGAAAGAAGCCGGGCCUGACUUCAGGGAUCUGGUGUGAAAUGACUGGACCCAUGCGUUCUGAGUAAACAAGAGAGCCCCUUCUGGCUUCUCCGGGAGGAACCAAAUGGCUUCAGCAUUCAGCUCCAAAGCCCGAUGGAGACCAAGAGUGAUACACUGUACUCAUGAUCAACUGCUCAGUUCUGGUUUGGGCCUCUGAGGGCUGAUGGGGUUUGGCAGUUCUGCCUCCACACAGCUGCCAAGGCCACCAUAAUUCUGGGACCUAGGAGUAAUUUCAAAGGUUUGGCUGUUACAUAUACAGCUGUUAUAAACAUCUGUGUGGGUGUCUUUCCAAAUGGAAUUGCUGGUUCAUGGGUAAGCAUACAUUCAACUUUCACAGAUAUUGCCUCAUAGUUUGCCAAAGGGUUGUACCAAUUUACACUCCUGCCAGCAGUGCAUGAGAGUUUUGGUGACUCUCAUCUUCACCAAUAUUUGGGCAUUUGUAUUUUCUUUCAUUUUAUUCAUUCUAGUGUGUUGAUGAUGACAUCUCAUUACAGUUUUAAUUUACAUUUUCUUUUUGACUAAG
rnacentral:lncRNA from 1 species